rnacentral:rRNA from 1 species
UACGUAGGGGGCGAGCGUUGUCCGGAUUUAUUGGGCGUAAAGAGCGUGUAGGCGGCCAGGUAGGUCUGCUGUGAAAACUCGAGGCUCAACCUCGAGACGUCGGCGGAAACCAUCUGGCUAGAGUCCGGAAGAGGAGAGUGGAAUUCCUGGUGUAGCGGUGAAAUGCGCAGAUAUCGGGAAGAACACCCGUGGCGAAGGCGGCUCUCUGGGACGGUACUGACGCUGAGACGCGAAAGCGUGGGGAGCAAACAGGG